rnacentral:lncRNA from 1 species
UUGUCUAUAUCUUUACCCUGAGUUAGUUAUUUCUGUGCCAUUUUAUUUAAUUAUUCGUUGUCUUGAGAAGCAAGAUCUUUUGUUCUUCCAUUCUGCAAAAGUCACUUCUCCUUUUGCCUGGGCCAAGAAAAUAUUUAAAAAAGUUAGUCCCUUAAAUUGCUGCAGUAGUUUUAUUUUCCCGGCGUGAAUUUUUGUUUAUAUUGAAAGAUAGAAGGAAAGGACUGAUGUCUUUGGGUGAAAAAGUCUUUGUUGGCUUAUCAGUAUGCGCAAAUGACUAGAUUCUGUUGUAAUGCUAGCUAAGCUAAUCAUCUUAGUUUCCUUUUAUUUAAAUCAAACAAGCCAGAGCCUUUCCCUUCUCUUUUUUUUUAGAAUUAGAGCCCAUUGAGGGGGACCUCGCUUCAAAGGUGAAAGUGAUGUGUGUUCAAAAGCAGUAGAGUAUGUAUAUACAGACACAUAUAUACAUCAUAUCAUUUGUCUUAGCAGUGAGCACAAAUGAAUAAUUGAACUCAUGCUGCUGUAUUUAAGAAAAUUUACCUAGUAUCAACCAUGUCUUUUAGUUUUCUGACUUUGUUUGAUUAUGUUAUGUGACAUUCACCUCAUGUAAAUGAACUAUCCGUGAAUUAUUGCUCUAGGUUCUGAUUUUGUUCUUGAGAGUAAAAAUGUCGUGAUAUGUUUUAUGUUGGCUUAUAAGCUAUAUCAGUUGCUUCAUUAUCGUUUGCUAAAUUUUGUAUUUGUUCAGCUAAAUCAAUUGGUUGAUGAGGUUUUCGAACAAUUAAGAAAAGCCAGAGACGGUACCAAAACUCAAGUACAUCAAGUUGUAGUUGCUAUUUUCUUGAUAUUCAGAUACUUCCAUGCAAACUAUAAGGACAUCAAAUAAAAAUUUUGGUACUUUAAAUUCAAGAUUUUUUGUUUGUUCCUUAUAAAAUUAUUCUUUAAGUUCACAGGUCUAAUAGGAUUAUCCAAGUCCAUAUAAGCAAACUACCAGUACAUUCCUAAAUCAAUGUGGGACUUUUUACCCACUCUAACACCCCCUUAUUCCCAACACCUCCCUCUCACGCCCAGACCUAAUAGGAUUACCCAUCUAAAACUCCCCUCAUGCCCAGGCCUAACAGGAUUAUCUAAGUCCAUAUAAGCAAACUACCAGUCCAUUCCCCAACCAAUGUGAGACUUUUUACCCACUCUAACACCCCCCACACGCCCAGACCUAACAGGAUUACCCAAGUUCAUAUAAGCAAACUACCAGUCCAUUCACCAACCAAUGUGGGAUGUUUUACCCACUCUAACACCCUACCUUCUAUGCCCAGGGCCCAACUAGUAACUAGCGCGUGGAACGAGAGCCCAAAACAAGGAUGGACUUGGCUCUGAUACCAUAUCAAGAAUGGAUCUUGGGCCUAACUCAACCUCAAAAGCUAGCUCAUGAGGUGAGGAUUGCCUAAAUCCAUAUAAGCAAACUAUUAGUUCAUUUCUCAACCCAUGCGGGACUUUUUACCUACUCUAACAUAUACUUGUUAUGUUCAAAGUCUUAUGUUGACCUAUCAUUACAAGAUUCAGGGUAAAUUAUUAAAAAUUACAUGAAAAUAAUUUAUUUUUUAUUAAUUUUCAAGCAUUGGUUAGUAUACAAAGUAAAAUAAUGAAAAUAACCUUAGAGAUUCUUCUAUUCCACAAGCACCUAGCUAGCAUGCGUUCAUGUCUGAUGUCUCUCAAAUUUGUUCUGUAGUACUUCUACGAUACUAUAUGGGUGGGAUUUGUAUCAAGCCUAAGGAGAGACCACAAAUAUUAAUAUUAAAUGCUACAGGCUUAUGAUGCUUGCAUAAAGUAACAAAAGCCGACACAUAGGCAAGGAAAGAGGUGCAAACGAUGACAUAGGCAACAACAGCGAGAGCAGUUGAAUGCCCUAACGUAGCGUAAAUGCCAGUUACAAAUUCAAUUUACAUUGCAAACAUUGCGUUAAUUAGCAGAGUACCUGCAUUAAGAUAAAGCCCCAACAAAAGUGGAGAUACUUGGCCAUAAUUUUCUAUUAAUAAUGCAAGUCUUUUUUGGUCCGCCAUGGUGAAAUAAAUGACUAUAUCCAAGUGGAGCACGCAAAGGCAAUGGUAUCCAUAAGAACAAACACCUAAAAGGCUGCAUUUCUUAUUAGAAUUGUUGCUCCUUUAUUAGGGCUUUUGGAAUCGCUUUCAAAUCCUGCUGGUAAUGUGAAGCUAACAGCAAAGGUGACUGUAACUAAUAAAGUUCCUACCACAAAAUGUGUUUUAUGUUCCUUCAUAAUAAUUUCAUCUCUUUUCUCUUCUGUUUUAGCUUCAAGAGUUCCCAUCCAUUUCUCUGAGGAAUAGAUAUAUUAUCCAAAAUAAUCUCCCAAAUAUGUAUGAUCUUGUGAGUCCAUUACUUUCUCAUCAUUAUAUAUGUAGGAAAGAGAUUUGGUAUUUGCCUAGAUCGUAAGUUAGAAGAAAGGAAUUUGGUUCUUGCCUUUGAUCAAACGAAAUGGAUUUGGUAUUUGCCUAGAUCAUAAUUUAGAAGAAAGGAAUUUGGUCCUUGCCUUUGAUCGAAA